rnacentral:rRNA from 1 species
UACGAAGGGGGCUAGCGUUGUUCGGAAUCAUUGGGCGUAAAGAGCGUGUAGGCGGCUUGCUAAGUCCUGCGUGAAAUCCCCGGGCUCCAACCUGGGAACUGCCUUUGGUGACUGCAAGGCUUGAGUGCGGCAGAGGGGGAUGGAAUCCGCGUGUAGCAGUGAAUGCGUAGAUAUGCGGAGGAACACCGAUGGCGAAGGCAAUCCCCUGGGCCUGCACUGACGCUCAUGCACGAAGCGUGGGAGCAACAGG